rnacentral:rRNA from 1 species
UACGGAGGGUGCAAGCGUUGUUCGGAAUCACUGGGCGUAAAGGGCGUGUAGGCGGUCUGUUAAGUCUGGUGUGAAAUCCCCUCGCUCAACGAGGGAAUGGCGCCGGAAACUGGCAGACUCGAGUACCGGAGAGGAAGGUGGGAUUCCCGGUGUAGCGGUGAAAUGCGCAGAGAUCCGGCAGAACACCGGUGGCGAAAGCGGUCUCCUGGGCCGAGGGCCGACGCUGAGGCGCGAGAGCGUGGGGAGCGAACCGG